GCGGCAAGAGCUCAGAUUUGAAAUCGUGUUUCGGCACGAGUUGUAGAGUGUAGGCGGGAGUCUCUGUGGAGCGCGGUGUCCAAGUCCCUUGGAACAGGGUGCCUGAGAGGGUGAGAGCCCCGUAGGGUGCUGCGCGAAGCUUUUGAGGCCCUGCUGACGAGUCGAGUUGUUUGGGAAUGCAGCUCCAAGCGGGUGGUAAAUUCCAUCUAAGGCUAAAUAUUGGCGAGAGACCGAUAGCGAACAAGUACUGUGAAGGAAAGAUGAAAAGCACUUUGAAAAGAGAGUGAAACAGCACGUGAAAUUGUUGAAAGGGAAGGGUAUUGGGCUCGACAUGGGGGGUGCGCACCGCUGUCUCUUGUAGGCGGCGCUCUGGGCGCCCUCUGGGCCAGCAUCGGUUCCUGCUGCGGGAGAAGGGGCUCCGGAAAGUGGCUCUUCGGAGUGUUAUAGCCGGGGCCAGAUGCCGCGUGUGGGGACCGAGGACUGCGGCUUCUGUCUCGGAUGCUGGCAUAACGGCGCAAUACCGC
rnacentral:rRNA from 1 species